rnacentral:rRNA from 1 species
CCUACGGGAGGCAGCAGUGAGGAAUAUUGGUCAAUGGCCGGAAGGCUGAACCAGCCAUGCCGCGUGAAGGUCAGUGCCCUAUGGGCGUUAAACUUCUUUUGUGCGGGAGCAAUAAUGGUCACGUGUGGCCAGACGAGAGUACCGUACGAAUAAGCAUCGGCUAACUCCGUGCCAGCAGCCGCGGUAAUACGGGGGAGGCAAGCGUUAUCCGGAUUUAUUGGGUUUAAAGGGUGCGUAGGCUGUGAGGUAAGUCAGCGGUGAAAUGCCCCCGCUCAACGGGGUGAAGUGCCAUUGAUACUGCCUGGCUGGAAUGCGGAUGCCGUGGGAGGAAUGUGUGGUGUAGCGGUGAAAUGCAUAGAUAUGACACAGAACACCGAUUGCGAAGGCAUCUCACGAAUCCGCGAUUGACGCUGAUGCACGAAAGCGUGGGUAUCAAACAGGAUUAGAUACCCCAGUAGUC